GACGAACGCUGGCGGCGUGCUUAACACAUGCAAGUCGAACGGAAAGUCCCUGCUUUUGUGGGGUGCUCGAGUUGCGAACUGGUGAGUAACACUUGAGUAACCUGCCCUUGACUUUGGGAUAACUUCAUGAAACUUGGUCUAUUACCGGAUAGGAUUUCCUGCUGCAUGGUGGGGCUUGGAUAGUUUCGGCGGUUGGGUAUGUACUCGCGGCUUAUCAGAUUGUUGGUGGGGUAGUGGAUUACCAAGGCUUUGACGGGUAGCCGGCCUGCGAGGGUGACCGGCCAAGUUGGGACUGAGAUACGGCACAGACUAAUACGGGAGGCAGCAGUGGAGAAUAUUGCACAAUGGGAGGAAGCAUGAUGCAGUCAAGCAGCGUGCGGGGUGACGGCCUUCGGGUUGUAAAGCGAUUUCGCUUGUGACGAAGCGUGAGUGACGGUAAUGGGUAAAGAAGCACCGGCUAACUACGUG
rnacentral:rRNA from 1 species